AGGACGAACGCUGGCGGCACGCUUAACACAUGCAAGUCGAACGGAGUUAAGAAGGAGCUUGCUUCAUCUUAACUUAGUGGCGGACGGGUGAGUAACACGUGAGCAACCUGCCUUUGAGAUUGGGAUAGCUUCUGGAAACGGAUGGUAAUACCGAAUAACGUUACCGAACCGCAUGAUUUGGUAACCAAAGAUUUAUCGCUCAAAGAUGGGCUCGCGGCUGAUUAGAUAGUUGGUGGGGUAACGGCCUACCAAGUCGACGAUCAGUAGCCGGACUGAGAGGUUGAACGGCCACAUUGGGACUGAGACACGGCCCAGACUCCUACGGGAGGCAGCAGUGGGGAAUAUUGCACAAUGGGCGGAAGCCUGAUGCAAGCGAUGCCGCGUGGAGGAAGAAGGUUUUCGGAUUGUAAACUCCUGAUCUGAGGGACGAUAAUGACGGUACCUCAGGAGAAAGCUCCGGCUAACUACGUGCCAGCAGCGGC
rnacentral:rRNA from 1 species